rnacentral:rRNA from 1 species
AUGGCCCAUGGUGAAUCAUCCGGCGGUGGCAGGACCGUGCGGGUGGUCGACGUAUGGGCCCAGAACGAGGCGGCGGAGCUGGCCCGCAUCCGCGGCCUCGCCCGGGGCUUCAGGGUCGCGGCGGUGGCCACGUCCAUCGAGCUGCCGCCGGGUCCGUCGCCCACACGCACCCUGGACGACAGCUACGAGGCCGUCCGCGCCGCCGUGGACGGCGUGCGGUCCGUGCAGCUGGGCCUGGCCCUCCUCAGCUUCGACGGCGACCUGCCUCCGGCCGGCCGCGUGUGGCGGUUCCACCUCGGGGAGGGGCGCGGCGAGGCCAGCCCCCGCCGCUUCUGCGAGGCCCUCUGGAGCUACACCCGCGCCACCAUGCCCGACUGCGUCUGCGCCACGCGGGACGGCGCCGCCGACGUGGCGUACCUUCUCAGGCACCUUGACGGCGGCCUCCCGCCCCGGCGCGAGGCGUUCCUGCGGAGGUGUAACGUCUUUUUCACCCAACUGUACGACCUGAGGGUGCUGGCGGAGUGGAGGCCGGUGGAGGACGGGGAUCCCCCGCUCGCCGCCGCCACCGGAGACGCGUUCCGCCGAUUCCUGGAGCUGGUGCGGGAGUGGCGGCCGACGGGAUGGCCCUACGGUUACAACGCGUUUCUAUACGGACUCGGAGCCAACGAUGAUGACCCCCUCCUCCACUACAAGAGAAUAUCGGCGGAGUACGACGAGAGUAGGAGGCGGUUGAAGGAGCAUCUCCUUCAGCACCACGAUGAGGAAUAUGUUGUGAAAAGGUUGCUUCCUGUGAUUAUGUAA